rnacentral:rRNA from 1 species
GGGUGCGAUCAUACAAGCACUAAUGCACUGGAUCCUAUCAGAACUUCGAAGUUAAAUGUGCAUGGGCAAGAGUACUACUAAGAUGGGUGACCUCUUGGGAAUUCGUCAUGUUGCACCCC